UACGAAGGGGGCUAGCGUUGCUCGGAAUUACUGGGCGUAAAGCGCACGUAGGCGGAUCUUUAAGUCAGGGGUGAAAUCCUGGAGCUCAACUCCAGAACUGCCUUUGAUACUGAGGACCUUGAGUUCGGGAGAGGUGAGUGGAACUGCGAGUGUAGAGGUGAAAUUCGUAGAUAUUCGCAAGAACACCAGUGGCGAAGGCGGCUCACUGGCCCGAUACUGACGCUGAGGUGCGAAAGCGUGGGGAGCAAAGCGGGGAUUAAGAUGACCCUUGUAGUCCCU
rnacentral:rRNA from 1 species